AUAAUAUUUUUAAAAAUUGCCCACAGAGUCUGUUGAGUGCUACCUGUGUGUGCAUGCCACGGGCAGGUGUUUUAAUAGCAGAGACUGGAAUUAGGAUAAAUCUUUGUCGAAAGAAGAUGGUAAGUAAUUAGGAGACUGUAGGGUAGAGCCACAGCAACAAAAAUGAGCUCAGCCCCAUCCCGUGGGCGGAAUAAAGGGAAAAGAGUAGAGACCAACCUUCUGCUCCCUGGCUGUGAACACAAUGGAGCCAGCAGCCUCAGGUUACUUCUGCCCCGCCAUGGCCACCACAAUGGACUGUAUCCCUUCAAACUGUGAGCUGAAAUUAAUCCUCCCUCCUUCAAGUUGCUUUGAUCAGGUACUUCGUCCCACCAAUGAGAUCAGCAACUCUUAACCUUGGUGCUAAACUUGGUGGCAAGGACUCAGAUCGCCCCCUCUCUGCAGGGCUCCAGAGAGAAGGGAUCUAUGGGCAGCGGGAACAGUUUGUCACCUCGGACGGUUUGACUACCCUAUUCCAAAGACCUGGGUAAUGGAUGAAUUACCUGUGGCCUGCCCAGAGACAGUGAGGGAGGUGCAGCUCCUGAGGGAGGUGUAGGAGGGAGUUGCCGUCUCACAGGCUCAGUUGAAUGUUAGGACUUGGGAAUAGGGGGUAGCCAGAACUUCAGGGUGAAUUGGAGAGGGAUCAGUAGAGCCAACGACACAAGGAAGACACUAGGAGAGAUGGGGCCCUUGUUAGAUUCCUGGCCUCGGGCGCCAAGGUCACUGCCGAGCCUUUCUGCUUGUGGCCACAAGCUCUAUUUUCGGUUGCAUCCACACAGAGUUAGAGUUGGCCACUGGGAGGAACAUGAUGAGUCUGAGUGUCCUCAGCUGGCUCCUGUGACUCCAGGACAGCCAGCAAGCUGCACUUCCUGAAAAAAGCAACUGGAAAAAGUCUCUCGGCGACUUUUAAAGUGGUGUCUAGGCAUAAUACUCUCCAAUUAUCAACCUAGUAAAAUAGAUUAAUUUGUCUUUUAGGGAAAUGGAAGUGCUUAAUGGAGUCAGGCAAUACUGUGAGUACUCCAUAAACCGUGGCUGGAGCGAGGCAUGAAUGUCGGACCAGAGGGUAUGUGUCUGGCCCUCACCUCCUCUCUCCUACUCAUCAGCCCUCUGGACCCUACAGAGCUUUCCUCUCUCAGCUCCCCUAGGAGGCUCUCAGCCUAGUUCUUUACCACACGGAUCCUGGUUGAAGCCCCGAGUCACGUGGAGUGCUCCAGUGCCCCCUUCAGAUACGGUAAUAAAACGUAUUUUGCUGUGCAAAGAAACACCCCCACACCAAUAUCCUAGGCACAUCAAUAUGGUCAUUCAAUGGGGAACUCCAAGUUGCCCCCUGACGAGUAGGUACUGGAUUUCUCAGAAUUUCCUCCUCUCCGUGAAUGUGUCACUUGCUGGUCUGCUGUAUCGAUGCAUACAUUCUUUUCCUGACAAGAAAAGCCCAGAUCGCAGGGGUCUAACCUUCCCCAUCAACCUCCUGUACCACAGACUAGUGGGGGAUCUGCUUCCUUGUUUUCUAGUCAGCAGCCAGAAGAGCAGGGGGGUGACACGGUGGUCCACCAGAGACACAUUUGGUAUGGGCUACAUCACUUCUGCUAGAAGACUGGUGUCCCGGAUACUUCAUGUACAGGAGAGGCGGACAUCUUCCAGCACCAUCGUGUUCAGUGACAAAGAGCUGUCAUGGAAGUCAGAGCCCCUGCUCUAUGGAUCCCACCGGCGCUAGAAGACAUAGACCAACUCCUGGAUCGAGGAGCACUGUUCUCUCUAUAUUUGUUAAGCAUUAGCUACCCAUAGGAAUCUUGGCUACUAAGAGACCCAAGGUCUGGCCCCUUUGCUCGGAUCCAUCAAGGAGAGGACGUGAGAGGUGAUUCUUGCCAUGCUGGUGGCUCCGCAGGGAACAUUCUCAGUGUGCUCUGGAAGCCCCACGCCACACGUGGCAUCGAAGCCCAAAACAGCCAGGAGGAAGUCACCAGCCAGCAGACCAGCCGAAAAACAUUCUCGCAGCUCUGUGCUUCUUGAAGAUGUCCAGUAAGACUCUGGGGUUCUAAAGAUGUCUUUCGUGUUGAAGGAGGGUGACUUGUCUGGCCGACAGCACAGCAGCAGCUGCAACCCACAGGGGUGCCCAGAAUCUGCCCCCAGGGUACCAUUGGAGGGUGCUCACAUGGAUAUACAAGGUCAGGCUUGCCCGGGCAAGCUGCUAUCCAAGGGAGGCCUGUGCAGUGUGUCCUUACUACAAGCAGCCCAGAGCAGUGGUCAGGCCAGCUUUGGCCAGUGUAAUGCUACUCAACACAGCUCCCUGGGCAGGUCCCUGGAAGCACGACAUUCACGUUUACAGAAAGGAAGCAUCCCAAGCGCCACUUCCAGAGCUGUUCUUUGUAAACCCGUCUUGCGGGCAGCAGAUGUACCUCUUUUUUUUAAAAAAAAAUAUUUAUUUAUUUUAUGUA
rnacentral:sRNA from 1 species